rnacentral:rRNA from 1 species
GGAUAACCUGCCCUUGGGUCCGGCAUAACCCCGGGAAGCUGGGGAUAAUUCCGGAUAACGCACAUAUGCUGGAAUGCUUUGUGCGUAAAAUGGAUUCGUCUGCCCAAGGAUGGGUCUGCGGCCUAUCAGGUAGUAGUGGGUGUAAUGUACCUACUAGCCAACAACGGGUACGGGUUGUGAGAGCAAGAGCCCGGAGAUGGAUUCUGAGACAUGAAUCCAGGCCCUACGGGGCGCAGCAGGCGCGAAAACUUUACAAUGCGGGAAACCGUGAUAAGGGGACACCGAGUGCCAGCGUCAUACGCUGGCUGUCCGGGUGUGUAAAAUACACCUGUUAGCAAGGGCCGGGCAAGACCGGUGCCAGCCGCCGCGGUAACACCGGCGGCCCGAGUGGUGAUCGUGAUUAUUGGGUCUAAAGGGUCCGUAGCCGGUUUGGUCAGUCCUCCGGGAAAUCUGAUAGCUCAACUAUUAGGCUUUCGGGGGAUACUGCCAGACUUGGAACCGGGAGAGGUAAGAGGUACUACAGGGGUAGGAGUGAAAUCUUGUAAUCCCUGUGGGACCACCUGUGGCGAAGGCGUCUUACCAGAACGGGUUCGACGGUGAGGGACGAAAGCUGGGGGCACGAACCGGAUUAGAUACCCGGGUAGUCCCAGCCGUAAACGAUGCUCGCUAGGUGUCAGGCAUGGCGCGACCGUGUCUGGUGCCGCAGGGAAGCCGUGAAGCGAGCCACCUGGGAAGUACGGCCGCAAGGCUGAAACUUAA